rnacentral:rRNA from 1 species
UUGGUUAAGUUAUGAAGGGCGCACGGUGGAUGCCUUGGCACUAGGAGCCGAUGAAGGACGUGACUAACAACGAUAUGCUUCGGGG